UACGUAGGGUGCGAGCGUUAAUCGGAAUUACUGGGCGUAAAGCGUGCGCAGGCGGUUCGUUAAGUCAGAUGUGAAAGCCCCGGGCUCAACCUGGGAACUGCAUUUGAAACUGGCGGGCUUGAGUGCGGCAGAGGGGGGUGGAAUUCCGCGUGUAGCAGUGAAAUGCGUAGAGAUGUGGAGGAACACCGAUGGCGAAGGCAGCCCCCUGGGUCAAGAUUGACGCUCAUGCACGAAAGCGUGGGGAGCAAACAGG
rnacentral:rRNA from 1 species